UAGAGCUUGAUCAUGGCUCAGAUUGAACGCUGGCGGCAGGCCUAACACAUGCAAGUCGAGCGGUAGCACAAGGAGCUUGCUCCUGGGUGACGAGCGGCGGACGGGUGAGUAAURUCUGGGAAACUGCCCGAUGGAGGGGGAUAACUACUGGAAACGGUAGCUAAUACCGCAUAACGUCUUCGGACCAAAGUGGGGGACCUUCGGGCCUCACACCAUCGGAUGUGCCCAGAUGGGAUUAGCUAGUAGGUGAGGUAAUGGCUCACCUAGGCGACGAUCCCUAGCUGGUCUGAGAGGAUGACCAGCCACACUGGAACUGAGACACGGUCCAGACUCCUACGGGAGGCAGCAGUGGGGAAUAUUGCACAAUGGGCGCAAGCCUGAUGCAGCCAUGCCGCGUGUGUGAAGAAGGCCUUCGGGUUGUAAAGCACUUUCAGCGAGGAGGAAGGGUUCGGUGUUAAUAGCACCGUUCAUGACGUACUCGCAGA
rnacentral:rRNA from 1 species